AAGUCGGGCAAUGAUUGUGCUUUUGUGAGCAUCUGAAGAUUGUAGGUUUUUAGCUAGGUCUACAUUUGCAUACAUGAACAGCUCUUGUUUAAAUAUGUUUAAUAACUUUGUAAAGCUGUAAGAAACAGACCUACAGCACUUCAUUUCAUUAUAAAUGGCCCGACUAAUGUCCUCCAGUGCUUCUGAUGGACAUGUGCAAUGUUAGUUAGUGUUAAUAUUGGCAACGCCUAGAAAUGUAUUCUACUCAUUUGUAACUACUGUGAAAUUGAUACUGCUGCUUUUUGGAUGACCUAUAAAUGGCAAGUUUCUACAAGGGACAAAUUUGGAAAAUGCUGAGAUGUUGUUGAAAACCAUACCAAAGUACUACUUUUGUUAUAAUAUUCAGCAAAAAAAAAAAAGUAUAACUUGACCCAUUUGCAAUCAGUGUUGAUAAGGCUACUUUUACAAAUAUAAUGGGUUACAGAUUACUAGUUAAAAGGUUAAAAAAAUGUAACAUGUAAGUAAUGCAAUUGUUUUAAAGAUUCUUCAGAGUAAUGUAACUUAUUAUUUUUGGUUAUUUUUCUAACAAAUAUUAUAAACUGGACAAUAAAGCUGAAAAAUCAUUUAACUUAAACCUAGCAGUGGAGCCCUCACAACGACUAUUAUUGCAUUGUCAUCUGCAGAGAACAUCUGCUGCUCCCCAGCAUCUCCCAGUUCUCCUCUUUU